ACAUACUAGGAUCGGCCCGCCCUACGGGCGGGAAGUUAUAAUAAAAACUAUUUUAUUAUGUUGAAUAGUGUUUACUUUUUUGUUUAAAAACUAAUUUUAAGUUAGCACUUAGUGAUUUAGCCCAAAAAUAGUACUUAGAGUUAUGAUAUAACAUAAUUCUAUUUGUAAUAGUUUUCGAAUGGUGUCGUCAUUUUGUAUUUAGUCAUUUGAUGAUGUUGCGAUUUGUUUAAAAUGAGGAAGUUGUUAUUAGAACAGUUGCAACACUUUUGAGAGUCACAUAUUUAAUUACCAUUAGGAAAACGCUCUUGGCUAACCAACUCGAGAUUCGAUUCCACAAAUGAAAAUAGUAUGCAAAGAUGAAAUCGAAUGAAAAGAUAUUAAUGUCAUAAUUGAACAAUUGUCAUAUUAUCUAUAUGCAAUAUUAUCCUUUCACGUGUAUUGUUAAAUUUUGGGAUGGGCUUUGGAUGCUUGGGCUGUUAUCCACUCUCUGGACUUGUCCUCUUCGACUUUAUAAUCAAUCAAACGAAUGUUGACCCAAAAAAAAAGAAAUAAAAAGUUUAUAUGUGUUUAAUUGCAUAUACACGUGGAGUGCUUCUUUAGUUAGGUGAGACUGAAUUCAAGAAGAAACAAAAGAGAAAGGACCAAACUGCAAAUAGGUGUAACUUAAGUUGUUUAUCAGAUCUAGGGUCUUCCACAUUUAUAUCUGCCGAUCUCAAACUCUUCACGGGAUGAGGCUCGUCGCCUGAUGAAGGAAAAAUCAUGGCUUGAGGUCCUCUGCAGUUGGAGGUGAGAGCGAUGAUUUUGGGAGCUGAGAUGGCCGUUGGUCGUGAGCUUAGAAGAUCGCAGCGGUGAAAAAGAUGAACGCCCUCACGCCACAGAGAAAGCUUAAACACGACAAAGGAGGGAGGUACUCACGGUUGGACCACCGGAGAUCAAUCGGAGCGGCAACAAAGAUGACAGGAGAAGUCGCAGGAGAAGUCGCGGUGCCAUGGCGAGGAGUCGAGGUUGCCGAGACAAAUAAGCUUCAUAUUAAAUGAUAAAUCAUGGUGAAUGGAGUUAUGAAGGGCUUUAAGGCGAUGUAUCUGUCAAUGAAGAAGAAGAUCAAACGACGUGAGAAAAAUUUCUACCAACAGAUUCAUCCGCCGACUUUGUCGACUCAAUCCCUAGAAUUAGAAUCACCGUGCUAUCGGGAUGGGUUUUAGCCUAAAGCCCACAUAAAAACUGUAACCCAUAUCUCUUCAAUUUUUUUGUAAAUGAAACGCAGCGCAUAAGCAAAAGUGGACAGGUGUUACGCUC